AUUUUUUACCAUUAUCUAUUUACUGUACCUUCUGCUAGAUAGAUUGGAUUUGUAGACUACUUGAACAAUACAUGGUUUCCUAUAUCUUUUUUCAGGAAGAGCACAAAAUUAUUUGGUCCUUCGGAUCCAACUCUUCAAUCGUUAUUUCAUCUCACCCAUCAUAUUGAUGGAUGGGACAGAAGUUGUGAUUGCUGACUUACCUAGAUAUUUACAUGUGGGU
rnacentral:misc_RNA from 1 species